rnacentral:rRNA from 1 species
UACGUAGGGGGCGAGCGUUAUCCGGAUUCAUUGGGUGUAAAGGGAGCGUAGACGGUAAUGUAAGUCUGGAGUGAAAGGCGGGGGCCCAACCCCCGGACUGCUCUGGAAACUAUGUUACUAGAGUGCAGGAGAGGUAAGCGGAAUUCCUAGUGUAGCGGUGAAAUGCGUAGAUAUUAGGAGGAACACCAGUGGCGAAGGCGGCUUACUGGACUGUAACUGACGUUGAGGCUCGAAAGCGUGGGGAGCAAACAGG